rnacentral:rRNA from 1 species
CAUACAUCCUUCUACCGGUCGGAUGGUGUGAGUUACUGGAAAUAAUUUUUGGUUGGGGAUGAGCUCGCGGCCUAUCAGCUUGUUGGUGAGGUAAUGGCUCACCAAGGCGUCCACGGGUAGCCGGCCUGAGAGGGUGACCGGCCACACUGGGACUGAGACACGGCCCAGACUCCUACGGGAGGCAGCAGUGGGGAAUAUUGCACAAUGGGCGGAAGCCUGAUGCAGCAACGCCGCGUGAGGGAUGACGGCCUUCGGGUUGUAAACCUCUUUUAGCAGGGAAGAAGCGAGAGUGACGGUACCUGCAGAAAAAGCGCCGGCUAACUACGUGCCAGCAGCCGCGGUAAUACGUAGGGCGCAAGCGUUAUCCGGAAUUAUUGGGCGUAAAGAGCUCGUAGGCGGUUUGUCGCGUCUGCUGUGAAAUCCCGAGGCUCAACCUCGGGCCUGCAGUGGGUACGGGCAGACUAGAGUGCGGUAGGGGAGAUUGGAAUUCCUGGUGUAGCGGUGGAAUGCGCAGAUAUCAGGAGGAACACCGAUGGCGAAGGCAGAUCUCUGGGCCGUAACUGACGCUGAGGAGCGAAAGGGUGGGGAGCAAACAGGCUUAGAUACCCUGGUAGUCCACCCCGUAAACGUUGGGAACUAGUUGUGGGGUCCAUUCCACGGAUUCCGUGACGCAGCUAACGCAUUAAGUUCCCCGCCUGGGGAGUACGGCCGCAAGGCUAAAACUCAAAGGAAUUGACGGGGACCCGCACAAGCGGCGGAGCAUGCGGAUUAAUUCGAUGCAACGCGAAGAACCUUACCAAGGCUUGACAUAUACGAGAACGGGCCAGAAAUGGUCAACUCUUUGGACACUCGUAAACAGGUGGUGCAUGGUUGUCGUCAGCUCGUGUCGUGAGAUGUUGGGUUAAGUCCCGCAACGAGCGCAACCCUCGUUCUAUGUUGCCAGCACGUAAUGGUGGGAACUCAUGGGAUACUGCCGGGGUCAACUCGGAGGAAGGUGGGGAUGACGUCAAAUCAUCAUGCCCCUUAUGUCUUGGGCUUCACGCAUGCUACAAUGGCCGGUACAAUGGGCAGCGAUACCGUGAGGUGGAGCGAAUCCCAAAAAGCCGGUCCCAGUUCGGAUUGAGGUCUGCAACUCGACCUCAUGAAGUCGGAGUCGCUAGUAAUCGCAGAUCAGCAACGCUGCGGUGAAUACGUUCCCGGGUCUUGUACACACCGCCCGUCAAGUCAUGAAAGUCGGUAACACCUGAAGCCGGUGGCCUAACCCUUGUGGAGGGAGCUGUCGAAGGUGGGAUCGGUAAUUAGGACUAAGUCGUAACAAGGUAGCCGUACCGGAAGGUGCGCU